GACGAACGCUGGCGGCGUGCUUAACGCAUGCAAGUCGAACGGAAAGGCCCUGCUUGCAGGGUACUCGAGUGGCGAACGGGUGAGUAACACGUGGGUGAUCUGCCCUGCACUUCGGGAUAAGCCUGGGAAACUGGGUCUAAUACCGGAUAGGAGCCAUUUUUAGUGUGAUGGUUGGAAAGUUUUUUCGGUGUAGGAUGAGCUCGCGGCCUAUCAGCUUGUUGGUGGGGUAAUGGCCUACCAAGGCGGCGACGGGUAGCCAGCCUGAGAGGGUGGACGGCCACAUUGGGACUGAGAUACGGCCCAGACUCCUACGGGAGGCAGCAGUGGGGAAUAUUGCACAAUGGGCGCAAGCCUGAUGCAGCGACGCCGCGUGGGGGAUGACGGCCUUCGGGUUGUAAACUCCUUUCGCUAGGGACGAAGCUUUUUGUGACGGUACCUAGAUAAGAAGCACCGGCUAACUACGUG
rnacentral:rRNA from 1 species